rnacentral:rRNA from 1 species
CAGCAGUGGGAAUCUUGGACAAUGGGCGCAAGCCUGAUCCAGCCAUGCCGCGUGAGUGAUGAAGGCCUAGGGUCGUAAAGCUCUUUCGCCAGGGAUGAUAAUGACAGUACCUGGUAAGAAACCCCGGCUAACUCCGUGCCAGCAGCCGCGGUAAUACGGAGGGGUUAGCGUUGUUCGGAAUUACUGGCGUAAAGCGCGCGUAGGCGGACUGGAAAGUUGGGGUGAAAUACCCGGGGCUCAACCCCGGAACUGCCUCCAAACUACCCAGUCUUGAGUUCGAGAGAGGUGAGGUGGAAUUCCGAGUGUAGAGGUGAAAAUUCGUAGAUAUUCGGAGGAACACCAGUGGCGAAGGCGGCUCACCUGGCUACGAUACUGACGCUGAGGUGCGAAAGUGUGGGGAGCAAACAGGAUUAGAUACCCUGGUAG